rnacentral:rRNA from 1 species
GAUGAACGCUGGCGGCGUGCCUAAUACAUGCAAGUCGAGCGAACGGACGAGAAGCUUGCUUCUCUGAUGUUAGCGGCGGACGGGUGAGUAACACGUGGAUAACCUACCUAUAAGACUGGGAUAACUUCGGGAAACCGGAGCUAAUACCGGAUAAUAUUUUGAACCGCAUGGUUCAAAAGUGAAAGACGGUCUUGCUGUCACUUAUAGAUGGAUCCGCGCUGCAUUAGCUAGUUGGUAAGGUAACGGCUUACCAAGGCAACGAUGCAUAGCCGACCUGAGAGGGUGAUCGGCCACACUGGAACUGAGACACGGUCCAGACUCCUACGGGAGGCAGCAGUAGGGAAUCUUCCGCAAUGGGCGAAAGCCCGACGGAGCAACGCCGCGUGAGUGAUGAAGGACUUCGGAUCGUAAAACUCUGUUAUUAGGGAAGAACAUAUGUGUAAGUAACUGUGCACAUCUUGACGGUACCUAAUCAGAAAGCCACGGCUAACUACGUG